UGUCUGUAUUUACAGGGUAUAGUGGAGCAUUGUCAACAACAAUGGCUUCCGUGGAUGCAACAACGUCACGGAACAACCUUCUACGCUUUCCACUCGGGAGGACAUCUGGGGGCGGUACGUUGAAGCGUUCACUAGGAGCUUGGUGAGCCGCGGCAAAACUGGCAAAGCCCUCACGGAUUUCGUGCAUCACAGGCGGGACUAAAGCAGCUUUCAUCACCUCGACAGCGGCAGUAAGAGCCGCCUGAAAGCCGACCUGCAUACCCGUUGUUUUGACUGCUUUACUAUGUGGGUUGCCAAGAGCAUUCGAACACCCUACACAGCUCCAAUGAAGAGAUGCCGUCCGUUUUCCCUCUUCGAUCACAGUGAAAGUUGCCGUUGCAGAUAGAUGCCACAGGACUCAGGAACAAACGCAGGAAUACAGCAAAGUCAGGAAUGGUUGUGACGAACAAUUGAAGGCAGGACUACCAGAGACAGCUUAUGUCACAGCUAAGCGGCAGUUUGACGAAAAUUAGGCCGAAACGACAAAAUAAAUCACGAAUUUACGCGGAGCACAGUGAGAAAACACACUCUGUCGUCAGCUGUCAA